rfam:Gossypium raimondii chromosome 1, whole genome shotgun sequence.
GGGCAUUUGGUCUAGUGGUAUGAUUCUCGCUUCAGAUGCAAGAAGUCUUGAGUUCGAUUCAAAAUACUUU